CCAAACCACGCGGACGUGGGGGACAAGGGGCUGCCGUCGUGCGCGUCGUACGUCGGCGUCAUGGUUUUGCUGUACAGUCCUGGGCUGGAAUAGAUGUUUCCCGACCCUGGUGUGAUCAGUGGGCCCUCCAGCUCGAAGGCUUCGUCGUCACAUUGGUCAUCCAGCUUCUUCUUUUUUUUCUUUGAUGGAUCUCUGGGUUUCCUCAGAAGAGAGAGCUCCUCCGGAUGUCUGAUGUUGAAGGUUUUGCAGAUGUCGGAAACCGCCUUGAAGACUCUGUCGGAGAAGUUGACCUUCACCUUCACGUACUUCAUGUUGGGCAGCUGCAGGCGGAGCAGCUUGUGCUGCGGGGUGAACUGCAGCUUGGCGUCAGCCUGGAUCCCAUACUUGUCCAACGUCCAGUGCGUUUUGAGGAGCCACGUCUUCUUCUUUUCCCACCAGAGCGCGUGGUCCGACCAGUCCUUCUUCACAUCGAGCUUCUCGACGAGGCGCAGCAUGACUCCCCCGAUGUGGAUCUCCCCGGUGACUCUCAGGGUGACGUCGCGGCCCAGGUCGGUGACAUGGACGCUCAGCUCCCACGUCCCGUCGGCGUAGCAGCCGUCCGGCAUGCGGAUCCCGUCCAGCGCCAUGGCCCCGGCCUCCUGCGCGCAGAUAGCAGCGCUCAGCGCCGGCACGGCACGGCACGGCACGGCUCGGAGCGGGGCAGGGAGGGAGGGAGGGACGGGCGGACGGAGCCCGGGGGGGGACAGCGCGGCCGCCCCCGAACCGCUGCCUGCG
rnacentral:lncRNA from 1 species